GGCUCAGUGGUCUAGAGGUAUGAUUUCUGCUUCGGGUGCAGGAGGUCCCGGGUUCAAUUCCCGGCUGAGCCC
rnacentral:tRNA from 1 species